GAUGAACGCUGGCGGCGUGCCUAAUACAUGCCAGUCGAGCGAACGGACGAGAAGCUUGCCUCUCUGAUGUUAGCGGCGGACGGGUGAGUAACACGUGGAUAACCUACCUAUAAGACUGGGAUAACUUCGGGAAACCGGAGCUAAUACCGGAUGAUAUUUUGAACCGCAUGGUUCAAAAGUGAAAGACGGUCUUGCUGUCACUUAUAGAUGGAUCCGCGCUGCAUUAGCUAGUUGGUAAGGUAACGGCUUACCAAGGCAACGAUGCAUAGCCGACCUGAGAGGGUGAUCGGCCACACUGGAACUGAGACACGGUCCAGACUCCUACGGGAGGCAGCAGUAGGGAAUCUUCCGCAAUGGGCGAAAGCCUGACGGAGCAACGCCGCGUGAGUGAUGAAGGUCUUCGGAUCGUAAAACUCUGUUAUUAGGGAAGAACAUAUGUGUAAGUAACUGUGCACAUCUUGACGGUACCUAAUCAGAAAGCCACGGCUAACUACGUG
rnacentral:rRNA from 1 species